GCUUUCAUCGUUCUUAGAGAAGGAAACAAAACAACUAGAAAGACUGGAAGGUAAAGGUGGCACUCUUUCAAAAUAAAGUCUAAGACUAUGUGGACUUUAGAGAGAUGAGUUCAGCCAAGACCAUCGGCAAACAACGUCAAUAUGUCACUGUAACAGUUUUGCAGGGGGACAGAGUCCAAUCUGAACAACAGUGUUAAUAAAACACAAAACCCACUGGGAAGCUAUCGCCAGCCUAUUGUGUGAUGCAGUUAAGCUGUUAUGCGAGUCCUCUCUUUUUCAACUUUUAAUCCUGUGAGAUAGCUUCUAAACUGCGACUCCAUUUAUAACAGGCACUGGGCACAGCCAUAUACUCUCCGUGUCUCUACCCGGAAAAUGGAUGAUAACACCUUCAGAAGGGACCACACACGUGUAUGCUUGAAGGGGAAUGCGGACCUCCCACCACCAACUCGAUUGUUCUGAAUAUAAGCCGGAUCCCACCCACACUAUUGCCACUGUUUUGUUUUUUUUUUUUCUCAGCAUCAUGGAUUGUCUUACUGUAAGAACGUUUCCUGCACCAGCCCCUUUCCUACAGAGGAGUGGGACCCAGUGCCAAACCCAACCCUGUGGAGCUUGGUGGUGAUGUAAUCUAUGUGACCAUCAGUGAUCCUCAAUGCAAACUAAGCUAAGCAAGCCUCUCCUUAAAACCCACGUGAAGAUCAAGGUGACCACACCAACCCUGGCACCUGGACUGACUCGUGGGAUGGAGAAGAACAGAAUAUCCCUGAUUUGGCUACUCCACUGCUUUCCCAAGCUGGGAAUAUGGUGUUUACAUUAUUUCCAGCCCUAAGAGACUGUUACACACAGCGCCUCUUCCUUUGAACUUACUCUAACAUGAGUGGCCAGGAUGCAAACUCCCUCAAAACUCUUAAAAGAAAUUACUCCCCACUAAACUGAACCCAUCUAUUCAAGACUUUUCGGCUCAGGGCCUCAAGAGCUGGCCGUUGGGGUCAACCCAGGUCUUCCUGUCUUACAGAGAAAUGUAGGCCCUCUGCAAUAUUCUUCUAAUCUCACUUAAGACAGGAGAGACUUAUCUGGUGGAGGCCAGGGAAGAAAUGAUGGGUACAGAGUGACACCCUGAAACCCGAACUGCCGCUGGCAGCGAGGGUAGAAGCCACGAAGCCUGCUACACUUGGUGUUUGCCUCACUCACAGCUCCCGAGUGUGUCAAUCAUUCCUGCUUCAAUCGCUGAACUGUUCUACUCUUCAGUGAACCUUCUAGAAAACAAAAUGUCCGAAGCUGUUACACUGAAUUCCUUUAUAAUUCAAUUACUUAUUGAUGCCAGAACACUGAAUUAAAUUAAUUAGGAGGCAUGACUUGAAGUCAUGCUCAAUUUAAGAGCAGAUAAAGAGCCGCAGUGUUCAGAGUAUUAAGACAACCCCCUCCCCCUCUCUCUCAGCACUUCUUUUUGGGGGGUUUCUCUGACCUAUCAACAGUAUCUGAUUGGUCAUAAUGCAAACCACCACCAUUUUUUUAAAAUGUCAUAGGACAUCACAGGUUCGUUUCUCCCAGAUAUUGGCAAGUAAGUCACGAUACAAGAACUCGGAGACACGAGUGAUCCCUUUAAAUAGCUGCCUCCGGCAGAAGCAAUUACCAAUAGAGAGAAUUGUGGAGACAGGAGAUGCUAACCGAUCAGGAUGCUACCCAAUCACAAGAGGGUGGCAAAUCCCUACAAUAAAUCCUUUCAUAGGGGUCUUAAGGAAGUUUCAAAAAUAUACAAGACAGGUCUAGGCACUUAAGAAGAGAGCAACUCCAUUUUUCUAGAAAGUUCACAUGGCCUGAAACGUCAAAUCACCACAAAGAUCUGUAGAUGUGUGCAUGCAAGAAGGCAUAGGAGAAAGGGGUCACUGACUUAUCUUAUGGAAACCCAAAGCCCUCCUAAUCAUAGAUAUAGCUUCCUUAGGUCUAGCACAUCUCACACUGUCUUCCUAGAGCUAAGCCAAUUUAUGGUCAGAAAAGCCAUUACAAUCGUAGUUACAUUGUAACAGUAGAGGGAUGGCUCUCACUGACCUCAAAAUGUACAUGACAUAUUUGACAGCUCAGCGAGGGUGAGAAUAAUUUGCAUCAGCACAUUUUCCCAAAAGGGGGAAAUUGGGGGCACUCAGUGGUUAAGAGCACUGACUAUUCCCUGGGUUCAGUUCUCAGCACCUUUAAGGCAAGGCUCUCAAACCCUCGGUAACUCCUAGCCCCUGAACGUCCUAUUCAGGCCUCCCAGGCACACUCAGCAUACAGGUCUAUACAGGCAUGCAAAACACUCAUACAUACGCCAAAAAAAAAUUUAAAAGUGUGUGAGUGGAGCGUCUGGGUUCCUUAACGGAAGCCAAGACAAGAAUGAAAUUUUAGCUUUUUAAAACAAUUAAUAAUAACAACAAUAGUAAUAGCUUUACAGACUAUAAACUCUCAGAGGGUCGGUGCCCUGCCUGGGUUAGAAGAGAAGGUCUCCAUGCUGCGUCCAGCAGAAGUCUGGAAUCGGCUGCCAUUUUUCAGCAGCCUGGAAAACGUAAAAAUAAAAAUAUUUUUAAGUAAAACAACAAAAAAAAUUAAUAAUAAAGUCAAAGGCAAUUAACUCUGGAGAGUUCAAACCUU